rnacentral:rRNA from 1 species
GGGAUUGCCCUAGUAACGGCGAGUGAAGCGGCAACAGCUCAAAUUUGAAAUCUGGCGCAAGCCCGAGUUGUAAUUUGUAGAGGAUGCUUCUGGGUAGCGACCGGUCUAAGUUCCUUGGAACAGGACGUCAUAGAGGGUGAGAAUCCCGUAUGUGACCGGCCCGCACCCUAUACGUAGCUCCUUCGACGAGUCGAGUUGUUUGGGAAUGCAGCUCUAAAUGGGAGGUAAAUUUCUUCUAAAGCUAAAUACCGGCCAGAGACCGAUAGCGCACAAGUAGAGUGAUCGAAAGAUGAAAAGUACUUUGGAAAGAGAGUUAAAAAGCACGUGAAAUUGUUGAAAGGGAAGCGCCUGCAAUCAGACUUCGCGGCAGUGUUCCACCGGUCUUCUGACCGGUCUACUCUCUGCCGCGAGGCCAUCAUCGUCUUGGCCCGCUGGAUAAGACCCUGGGAAUGUAGCUCCCCCUCGGGGGAGUGUUAUAGCCCCGGGUGAUGCAGCGCGGCUGGGGCGAGGUCCGCGCUUCGGCAAGGAUGAUGGCGUAAUGGUUGUCGGCGGCCCGUCUUGAAACACGGACCAAGGAGUCUAACAUCUAUGCGAGUGUUCGGGUGUCAAACCCCUACGCGUAAUGAAAGUGAACGGAGGUGGGAACCGCAAGGUGCACCAUCGACCGAUCCUGAUGUCCUCGGAUGGAUUUGAGUAAGAGCAUAGCUGUUGGGACCCGAAAGAUGGUGAACUAUGCCUGAAUAGGGUGAAGCCAGAGGAAACUCUGGUGGAGGCUCGCAGCGGUUCUGACGUGCAAAUCGAUCGUCAAAUUUGGGUAUAGGGGCG